CGCAGGGCGGAGGCGCGUACUUGCGGCGCAGGGAGCGGCUGACGUUCUGCGUCGGGUACCCCAGGAGGAGAUGUCCUUCAACACUAGGUCACCGUUGUUCAGGCCUGAAACUGAAGGAGCAUCAGAGGGCAAUGGUGAGGCCAAGGGGCCUGGUCUUUGAGAGCUUCAUCCCAGCCUAGACCACUACAGGAUGGCUCAUGGGAGGAGGGUGUGUGUACACACCCAAGUCCGCCCCGCUGUGUCCAGUGAGGACCGGGUUAGACCAGAGGAAUUCUAAGCUUCCUUCCAGCUCUUAUCAUCUUUGAUUGUGAGUACCAAUCAGUAUCUCUCUGUGCCGGCAGCUUUACACACCUCAUCCCAUUUAAUUCUCACAUGCCCUUGGAGGAUAGCCCUUAUUUCCCUUUUCAUGUACUGUAGAAUGAAACCAAGGCACACAGAGGUCAAGCCACUUGCCUGAGCCUUGCUGCCAGUCAUGGUCCAGCCAGAAUGCAAACCCAGCUCUAUCCGAAACCAUGCUCUUUCCAAAUUAGUCAUACUGCUUUCGACUGACUCUCCCCUUUCGCCUUCUCUUCCUCCCUCUAUAGCAGCUUCUGGAACAGGCUCAGAGGAGGAGUCUCCCACAGUUGGUGCUGCUGAGGACCUAGGGAAGCCCCAGCAGGACCCAGCAUCCCCAUCUUCCCCUCUUACAAGGCCCCCUCACCUUGACUGAUGGAGCUGUGGAAGGACUC